AUUAGGUUAUGGGGCUAUGGUAAGGUUUAAGUUUUUUGGCGUUAGGGUUAAAAUCACUGUCCAAAACCUUUGUAGGAACUCUUUUCCAACCUUUUGGAGUUGGUUACACCAACAAAAAUGUAAAAUGAAGAAAAAAAUAUUUGGGGUGUUCAGGCUUCAGGAAGGUAAUACCCGGGUAUUAGGUUUUGGGGCUAUGGUAAGGUUUAAGUUUUUUGGCGUUAGGGUUAAAAUCACUGUCCAAAACCUUUGUAGGAACUCUUUUCCAACCUUUUGGAGUUAGUUAGACCAAAAAAAAAAAGAAAAAUGAAAAAAAAAUAUUUGGGGUGUUCAGGCUUCCUAAAAGUAAUACCCGGGUAUCAGGUUAUGGGGCUAUGGUAAGGUUUAACGUUUUGGCGUUAGGUUUGAAAUCACUGUCCAAAACCUUUGUAGGAACUCUUUUCCAACCUUUUGGAUUUAGUAAGACCAAAAAAAAAUGAAAAAUUAAAAAAUAUAUAUUUGGGGUGUUCAGGCUUCCUAAAAGUAAUACCCGGGUAUCAGGUUAUGGGGCUAUGGUAAGGUUUAAGGUUUUUGGCGUUAGGGUUAAAAUCACUGUCCAAAACCUUUGUAGGAACUCUUUUUCAACCUUUUGGAGUUAGUUAGACCAAAAAAAAAAUGAAAAAUGAAAAAAAAAAUAUUUGGGGUUCACGGGCUUCUUGAAUGUAAUACCCGGGUAUUAGAUUUUAAGGCCAGGGAAAGGUUUAAGUUUUUUGGCGUUAGGGUUAAAAUCACUGUCCAAAACCUUUGUAGGAACUCUUUUCGAACCUUUUGGAGUUAGUUAGACCAAAAAGUAUGAAAAAAGAAAAAAAUAUUAAUGGGGGUUUUCGGGCUCCCUGAAAGUAAUACCCGGGUAUUAGGUUUUGGGGCUAUGGUAAGGUUUAAGUUUUUUGGCGUUAGGGUUAAAAUCACUGUCCAAAACCUUUGUAGGAACUCUUUUCCAACCUUUUGGAGUUAGUUAGAUUUAAAAAUAUGAAAAAAGAAAAAAAUAUUAUUGGGGGUUUUCGGGCUCCCUGAAAGUAAUACCCGGGUAUUAGGUUUUGGGGCUAUGGUAAGGUUUAAGUUUUUUGGCAUUAGGGUUAAAAUCACUGUCCAAAACCUUUGUAGGAACUCUUUUCCAACCUUUUGGAGUUAGUUAGACCAAAAAAAAAAAGAAAAAUGAAAAAAAAAUAUUUGGGGUUUUCGGGGUUCCGGAAUGUAAUACCCGGGUAUUAGAUUUUAAGGCUAGGGUAAGGUUUAAGUUUUUUGGCAUUAGGGUUAAAAUCACUGUCCAAAACCUUUGUAGGAACUCUUUUCCAACCUUUUGGAGUUGGUUACACCAAAAAAAAUGUAAAAUGAAGAAAAAAAUAUUUGGGGUGUUCAGGCUUCCUGAAGGUAAUACCCGGGUAUUAGAUUUUAAGGCUAGGGUAAGGUUUAAGGUUUUUGGCGUUAGGGUUAAAAUCACUGUCCAAAACCUUUGUAGGAACUCUUUUCCAACCUUUUGGAGUUAGUUAGACCAAAAAAUAUGAAAAAAAAAAAUAUAUUAUUGGGGGUUUUCGGGCUCCCUGAAGGUAAUACCCAGGUAUUAGGUUUUGGGACUGGGGAAAGGUUUAAGGUUUUUGGCGUCAGGGUUAAAAUCACUGUCCAAAACCUUUGUAGGAACUCUUUUCCAACCUUUUGGAGUUAGUUUGACCAAAAAAAAAAGAAAAAUGAAAAAAAAAUAUUUGGGGAGUUCAGGCUUCCUAAAAGUAAUACCCAGGUAUUAGGUUUUGUGGCUAGGGUAAGGUUUAAGUUUUUUGGCAUAAGGGUUAAAAUCCCUGUCCAAAACCUUUGUAGGAACACUUUUCCAACCUUUUGGAAUUAGAUAAACCAAAAAAAAAUGAAAAAUGAAAAAAUAUAUAUUUGGGGUUUUCGGGCUUCCUGAAUGUAAUACCCGGGUAUUAGAUUUUAAGGCUAGGGUAAGGUUUAAGUUUUUUGGCGUUAGGGUUAAAAUCACUGUCCAAAACCUUUGUAGGAACUCUUUUCCAACCUUUUGGAGUUGGUUACACCAACAAAAAUGUAAAAUGAACAAAAAAAUAUUUGGGGUGUUCGGGCUUCCUGAAGGUAAUACCCCGGUAUUAGAUUUUAAGGCUAGGGUAAGGUUUAAGGUUUUUGGCGUUAGGGUUAAAAUCACUGUCCAAAACCUUUGUAGGAACUCUUUUCCAACCUUUUGGAGCUGGUUACACCAAAAAAAAUGAAAAAAGAAAAAAAAAUUAUUGGGGGUUUUCGGGCUCCCUGAAAGUAAUACCCGGGUAUUAGGUUUUGGGACUAGGGAAAGGUUUAAGGUUUUUGGCGUUAGGGUUAAAAUCACUGUCCAAAACCUUUGUAGGAACUCUUUUCCAACCUUUUGGAGUUGGUUACAACAACAAAAAAGUAAAAUGAAAAAAAAAUAUUUGGGGUGUUCGGGCUUCCUGAAGGUAAUACCCGGGUAUUAGAUUUUAAGGCUAGGGUAAGGUUUAAGUUUUUUGGCGUUAGGGUUAAAAUCACUGUCCAAAACCUUUGUAGGAACUCUUUUCCAACCUUUUGGAGUUGGUUACACCAACAAAAAUGUAAAAUGAAAAAAAUAUAUAUUUGGGGUGUUCAGGCUUCCUAAAAGUAAUACCCGGGUAUUAGGUUAUGGGGCCAUGGUAAGGUUUAAGGUUUUUGGCGUUAGGGUUAAAAUCACUGUCCAAAACCUUUGUAGGAACUCUUUUCCAACCUUUUGGAGUUGGUUACACCAACAAAAAUGUAAAAUGAAAAAAAUAUAUAUUUGGGGUGUUCAGGCUUCCUAAAAGUAAUACCCGGGUAUUAGGUUAUGGGGCUAUGGUAAGGUUUAAGUUUUGGCGUUAGGUUUAAAAUCACUGUCAAAAACCUUUGUAGGAACUCUUUUCCAACCUUUUGGAGUAAGUUAGACCAAAAAAAGAAUGAAAAAUGAAAACAAAAAUAUUUGGGGUUUCCGGGCUUCCUGAAUGCAAUACCCGGGUAUUAGAUUUUAAAGCCAGGGUAAGGUUUAAGUUUUUUGGCGUUAGGGUUAAAAUCACUGUCCAAAACCUUUGUAGGAACUCUUUUUCAACCUUUUGGAGUUAGUUAGACCACAAAAAAAAGAAAAAUGAAAAAAAUAUAUUUUGGGUGUUCAGGCUUCCUCAAAGUAAUACCCGGGUAUUAGGUUAUGGGGCUAUGGUAAGUAUUAGGGUUUUUGGCAUUAGGGUUAAAAUCACUGUCCAAAACCUUUGUAAGAACUCUUUUCCAACCUUUUGGAGUUAGUUAGACCAAAAAAAAAUUAAAACUGAAAAAAAAAAUAUUUGGGGUUUUCGGGCUUCCUGAAUGUAAUACCCGGGUAUUAGAUUUUAAGGCUAGGGUAAGGUUUAAGUUUUUUGGCGUUAGGGUUAGAAUCACUGUCCAAAACCUUUGUAGGAACUCUUUUCCAACCUUUUGGAGUUAGUUUGACCAAAAAAAAAAGAAAAAUGAAAAAAAAAUAUUUGGGGUGUUCAGGCUUCCUAAAAGUAAUACCCGGGUAUUAGGUUAUGGGGCUAUGGUAAGGUUAAAGGUUUUUGGCGUUAGGGUUAAAAUCACUGUCAAAAACCUUUGUAGGAACUCUUUUCCAACCUUUUGGAGUUGGUUACACCAACAAAAAUGUAAAAUGAAAAAAAAAUAUUUGGGGUGUUCGAGCUUCCUGAAGGUAAUACCCGGGUAUUAGGUUAUGGGGCUAUGGUAAGGUUUUAUUGUUUGGCGUUAGGUUUAAAGUCAAAAAAACAAACAAACAAACAAAAAAAAAAUCUCAAACCAAAAGUUCAAACAAGACACAAACUCAAGAUCAAAAAACACCACAAACUCAAGUUCAACCAACACCCAAAUCUCAAGUUUAACAAUUGCCACAACCUCUAGUUCAAAAACAACACAAACUCAAGUUCAAACACGACACAAACUCAGGUGCAAAAACACCACAAACUCAAGUUCAACAAUUGCCACCAACUAAAGUUCAGAGAAAAAUACAGACUCAAGUUCAACAAUUGCCACAAACUCAAGUUCAACAAACACCACAAUCUUAAGUUCAACAAAUUCCAAAAUUUCAAGUUCAACAAAUGACCUAAACUCACAUUUAACAAUUGCCAAAAACUUAAAAGUUAAAAAAGUGCCACAAACUGAAGUUCAAAAACACCACAAACUGAAGUGUGUGAGGACAUGCAAACCACCAGACUGCACCUGUCUCAGCAAUGGGCUGAAGUGCACAAACCUGUGCAAAUUACAAACUUGUGCCAACCAGUACAGUGAGGAAGAGCCCCUUGCACACCGGCAGAUUCAGAUGUAGAAGAAGAUACAGAUACUGAUGUCGAUUACUGAUGUUGAUUAAUAAGUGAUGACCAAAGGGAGCUAUGUUAGCAGACCCACUGUGACUCAGUGACAGAAUUAUGUGCUAAGCCAAAACUUGACAGUCAUAUUUGCCGUCACUGUUCCUUAUGGAAAGAAUAGGACUUUGAAUAGGAAUUGGAGUUUUUCUCAGAUGAUUGUAUAGAGUGUAUACAUCAGUAGAUCUUAUUUUGUUGCUAAUGUCUUCUUGCCCUGCACCAGCCAGGAUGAUUGUAUAUUGAGUGCCUACAUUUAAAAUAUGUCAGUGUCAUAUUAAAGUUGUGUUAUUAUAAUGCUAUUAGUCUGCAUUUAUUUUAUUUCUACUUCUAAGUCAAAAAAUAUCCUUAAUUUAGACCUUGAUUUAGACCUGACAAUUAGCUAAUUGAAGCUUAUAUAUACACACCUGUAUUAGAUAAAUUACUUGAAAUACUACUUAGGGGGUUAAUACAAGUCUCUAUGGCUAGCCAAUAGUUCAAACACACCUAAAUGAGAGGUUAAAAUGAAAGAAAGCUCAUUUUGAAGGAAGGCGAUUUUUCGUUUUUGAACAGCUGCACUCUAUUACUUCAAUGAGUAAUAACUACAAUAAAGCUACCAGUUACCAAGGUCUAUCAAAUAAAAACUUAUUGUAGGGAUGUAUAAAAAAAUCACAACUAGAAUUUGCCCACCUAGGUGGUACCGAUAUGUGAAAUUUUGGUUCUUGGCUCAAGGACUAAAACUCAAGUUCAACAAACACAACAAGUCAAGUUCAAGCAACACCCGAUCCUCAAGUUCAACAAUUUCCACAAACUUAAGUUAAAAAACACCAGAACCUCUAGUUCAAAAAACAUGAUAAACUCAAGUUCAAAUAUGCCACAAACUCAAGUUCAAUGAACACCACAAACUCAAGUUCAACCACCACCCGAUUCUCAAGUUUAACAAUUGCCACAACCUCAAGGUUAAAAAAAACACAAACUCAAGUUCAAACACUUCACAAACUCAAGUUCAAAAACACCACACAAACUCAAGUUCAACAAACACCACAAACUCAAGUUAAACAAACACAACAAGUCAAGUUCAAGCAACACCCGAUCCUCAAGUUCAACAAUUUCCACAAACUUAAGUUAGAAAACACCAGAACCUCAAGUUCAAAAAACAUAAUAAACUCAAGUUCAAAUAUGCCACAAACUCAAGUUCAAUGAACACCACAAACUCAAGUUCAACGAACGCCACAAACAAAAGUUCAACAAUUGCCACCAACUAAAGUUCACUAAAAACCAUAGACUCAAGUUCAACAAUUGCCAAAAAAUCAAGCCAAACAAACUCAAGUUCAUAAGUUGCCACAAACUUCAAACACGACACAAACUCAAGUUCAAAAACACCACAAACUCAAGUUCAAAAACGACACAAACUCAAGUUCAACAAACAAAACUAACUAUUUAGAGUAAUUUUGAGGUGUUUGAGAGGUUUUUUGUAGACUUACCCUAGUGGUCCUAAGUUGUUGUUGAUGUGAGGGGUUUCUUUUCCAGUAGUCUAAAAUCUGUUGGAGGGGGGAAAAGUCCGGGGUCCUCGGCGGGGGAAAGAAGAUCAGCGCUCCGCGGGAAGGUUUGCUGGGACUCGGUGCUGUCGGCGGGUCGAAGCUCGGUGGUGGGCGGCUUGGAGUGAUGGAGGUGCGGCGUCUUCUUUCAGUUGGCGGCGCGGCGUCUUCCUCGAUGGUGGUCCGUCUUCUUGGUCCAGAGGUCAGUGCUUUGUCUCAAUAACUGGAACAGGAAUUGCUCUUUAGUGCACGGCACUUGAAUGUGCUUUUCACACGAGAAGACAACCCCAGAGUUGGGCUCGAGUCAUGGUUUGUGCUGUUCCUCUCAGACAUGGUUGUGUUCUCUUCACGAUGUUUGUAUUCCAGAAUGGAUGUCUCUUGGUUGUAUUUUAAACCUUCAAGUUGUUUUAAGUUAAUUUUAAUGUAGUUUAUUGUUUUAAAUUGAGUUUUGCUACAUUCAAUUUGUAUGCAAUCGCAAGGGAUUGUGGGUAUUUUAGUUCUGAGGGAUGAGAGCCUAAGGAAUCAAUCUUCCUGUUACAGCAAAGGAUUGUGGGUAAAACCGUGAGGGAGUGAGGUACUUCCUUUCUGGCAUGAGAGCCUUGGGAAUCAAUCUCCCUGUUGCAGCAAAGGAUUGUGGGUAAAACCGUGAGUGAGGGAGGUACAUUUUUCCUGGCAUGAGAACCUCAGGAGUCAGUCCUUCCUAAGAAAAAAGAGGGGAGGGGGAAGAAAAACAAAAGCACAGGAACCCUAAAAUAAAAUAAAAUAAUAUAAAACAAUGAAAAAAUAAAAGAAGAACAAAAGUGGAUUGAAAAGGGAAAGGGGAAGAAAAAAGGAAAAAAAGAAAUGUCAAGAGCAAAUAGCAAAAAUCAGAAGUGAGCUUAAAAACAGAGAACAGUUCCCUAAAAGAAAGACAGAAAUGUAAAUCUGAUCAAUGUCCUAAGGGAAAAUCUGUACGUGUGUGUGUGUGUUCUUUUUUGCUAACUUAGUCUGGUGUCACUGAUGGUCAGUUAUUGAUAAGUAUUUAUUAUUUAAAUUUUUGAUGAAGUUGUUUGUAGUGGGGUUAGCUGGCUAAUUUUAGAGUGUUAAAAAAGAUGUUAGAGGGGGAGGAUUUAGGGGGCACGGCGGUUCCCCUUCAGGUCUCUCUUAAUCCUCCAUAUAGGUGACCCAACAGGGGUUACCCCCCGGCCGGGGUAGGCCGAGGCUGAAGAUCACCUAUUUGUCCUCUGUGAAGGUGAAAAUAAAGGGGCAGGGGAGGGAAUAAGAAAGGGGGGGUGUUAGAGAGAGGGGGAGAGAUGAGGGAGAGAGAUGAGGGAGAGAGAGAGAGAGAGAGAGAGAGAGAGAGAGAGAGAGAGAGAGAGAGAGAGAGGUGUGUGUGUGUGUGUGUGUGUGUGUGAGAGAGAGAGAGAGAGAGAGAGAGAGAGAAGGGAAGAGGGAGAGGGGGGUUUAAGGGAGAGGUGGAGAUGGUGGAAAAUAAAGAUUGGUGAGGGGGAUGUUGACAUAUCACAUGUUCCCAGUCAAGUCUCCAAGCUCAAUCUGUGUGUAAAAAUUAUGUGUUGGUAGGAAGUUUAAUGACUCCACUCAAUUGGUAUGCCAUGCUGUCUAUCUUUUAGACUAUGGGGUGUUCAGGCUUCCUAAAAGUAAUACCCAGGUAUUAGGUUAUGGGGCUAUGGUAAGGUUUAAGGUUUUUGGCGUUAGGGUUAAAAUCACUGUCCAAAACCUUUUUAGGAACAUGUUUCAGAACUUUUGGAGUUAGAUAGACCAAAAAAAAAAGAAAAAAAAAAAAAAAGUAUUUUGGGUGUUAAGGCCUCCUGAAGGUUAUACAGGUAUAAUAUUAGGUUAUGGGGCUUGGGUAAGGUUUAAAGUUUUUGGCGUUAGGGUUAAAAUCACUGUCCAAAACCUUUGUAGGAACUCUUUUCCAACCUUUUGGAGUUAGCUAGACCAAAAAAAAAAAAAAAAGAAAAAUGAAAAAAAAAAAGUUUGGGGUGUGAAGGCUUCCUUAAGUUAAUACCCAUGUGUUAGGUUCGGGAAUAGGGUAAGGUUGAAGGUUUUUGGCGUUAGGGUUAAAAUCACUGUCCAAAACCUUUUUAGGAACAUGUUUCAGACCUUUUGGAGAUGGUUACACCAAAAAAAAUGUAAAAUGAAAAAAAAAAUUUGGGGGGUUUUCGGGCUUCCUGAAGGUAAUACCCAGGUAUUAGGUUAUGGGGCUAUGGUAAGGUUUAAGGUUUUUGGCGUUAGGGUUAAAAUCACUGUCCAAAACCUUUUUAGGAACAUGUUUCAGACCUUUUGGAGUUAGUUAGACCAAAAAAAAAAAAGAAAAAAAAAAAAGUAUUUUGGGUGUUCAGGACUCCUGAAGGUUAUACAGGUAUUAUAUUAGGUUAUGGGGCUUGGGUAAGGUUUAAGGUUUUUGGCGUUAGGGUUAAAAUCACUGUCCAAAACCUUUGUAGGAACUCUUUUCCAACCUUUUGGAGUUAGUUAGACCAAAAAAAUAAAGAAAAAUGAAAAAAAUAUAUUUGGGGUUUUCGGGCUUCCUGAAGGUAAUACCCGGGUAUUAGGUUUUGUGGCUAGGGAAAGGUUUAAGGUUUUUGGCAUUAGGGUUAAAAUCACUGUCCAAAACCUUUGUAGGAACUCUUUUCCAACCUUUUGGAGUUAGUUAGACCAAAAAAAAAUGAAAAAUGAAAAAAAACAUAUUUGGGGUGUUCAGGCUUCCUAAAAGUAAUACCCCGGUAUUAGGUUAUAGGGCUAUGGUAAGGUUUAAGGUUUUUGGCGUUAGUGUUAAAAUCACUGUCCAAAACCUUUGUAGGAACUCUUUUCCAACCUUUUGGAGUUAGCUAGACCAAAAAAUUAUAUGAAAAAGGAAAAAAAUAUAUUUGGGGUUUUCGGGCUUCCUGAAGGUAAUACCCGGGUAUUAGGUUUUGGGGCUAGGGUAAGGUUUAAGGUUUUUGGCGUUAGGGUUAAAAUCACUGUCCAAAACCUUAGUAGGAACUCUUUUCCAACCUUUUGGAGUUAGUUACACCAACAAAAAUGUAAAAUGAAAAAAAAAUAUUUGGGGUUUUCGGGCUUCCUGAAUGUAAUACCCGGGUAUUAGAUUUUAAGGCCAGGGAAAGGUUUAAGUUUUUUGGCGUUAGGGUUAAAAUCACUGUCCAAAACCUUUGUAGGAACUCUUUUCCAACCUUUUGGAGUUAGUUAGACCAAAAAAAAAAACGAAAUAUGAAAAAAAAAUAUUUGGGGUGUUCAGGCUUCCUAAAAGUAAUACCCGGGUAUUAGGUUAUGGGGCUAUGGUAAGGUUUAAGGUUUAUGGCGUUAGGGUUAAAAUCACUGUCCAAAACCUUUAUAGGAACUAUUUUCCAACCUUUUGGAGUUAGUUAGACCAAAAAAAAUGAAAAAUGAAAAAAAAAAUAUUGGUGUUUUCGGGCUUCCUGAAGGUAAUACCCGGGUAUUAGGUUAUGGGGCUAUGGUAAGGUUUAAGCUUAAUGGCAUUAGGUUUAAAAUCACUGUCCAAAACCUUUGUAGGAACUCUUUUCCAACCUUUUGGAGUUAGUUAGACCAAAAAAAAAAAAUGAAAAAUGAAAAAAAAUAUAUUUGGGGUGUUCAGGCUUCCUAAAAGUAAUACCCGGGUAUUAGGUUAUGGGGCUAUGGUAAGGUUUAAAGUUUUUGGCAUUAGGUUUAAAAUCACUGUCCAAAACCUUUUUAGGAACUCUUUCCCAACCUUUUGGAGUUAGUUAGACCACAAAAAAAUGAAAAAUGAAAAAAAAAUGUUUGGGGUUUUCGGGCUUCCUGAAUGUAAUACCCGGGUAUUAGAUUUUAAGGCUAGGGUUAGGUUUAAGUUUUUUGGCAUUAGGGUUAAAAUCACUGUCCAAAACCUUUGUAGGAACUCUUUUCCAACCUUUUGGAGUUGGUUACACCAAAAAAAAAAUGAAAAAUGAAAAAAAAAUAUUUGGGGUGUUCAGGCUUCCUAAAAGUAAUACCCCGGUAUUAGGUUAUGGGGCUAUGGUAAGGUUUAAGGUUUUUGGCGUUAGGGUUAAAAUCACUGUCCAAAACCUUUGUAGGAACUCUUUUCCAACCUUUUGGAGUUAGUUAGACCAAAAAAAAAAACGAAAAAUGAAAAAAAAAUAUUUGGGGUGUUCAGGCUUCCUAAAAGUAAUACCCGGGUAUUAGGUUAUGGGGCUAUGGUAAGGUUUAAGGUUUAUGGCGUUAGGGUUAAAAUCACUGUCCAAAACCUUUAUAGGAACUAUUUUCCAACCUUUUGGAGUUAGUUAGACCAAAAAAAAAAGAAAAAUGAAAAAAAAAUAUUUGGGGUGUUCAGGCUUCCUAAAUGUAAUACCCAGGUAUUAGGUUAUGGGGCUAUGGUAAGGUUUAAGGUUUUUUGCAUUAGGGUUAAAGUCACUGUCCAAAACCUUUGUAAGAACUCUUUUCCAACCUUUUGGAGUUAGUUAGACCAAAAAAUAUGAAAAAGGAAAAAAAAAUAUUUGGGGUGUUCGGGCUUCCUGAAGGUAAUACCCAGGUAAUUAGGUUAUGGGGCUAUGGUAAGGUUUAAAGUUUUUGGCAUUAGGUUUAAAAUCACUGUCCAAAACCUUUGUAGGAACUCAUUUCCAAUUUUUUGGAGCUAGUUAGACCAAAAAAAAAAGAAAAAUGAAAAAAAAAAUAUUUGGUGUUUUCGGGCUUCCUGAAGGUAAUACCCGGGUAUUAGGUUAUGGGGCUAUGGUAAGGUUUAAGCUUAAUGGCAUUAGGUUUAAAAUCACUGUCCAAAACCUUUGUAGGAACUCUUUUCCAACCUUUUGGAGUUAGUUAGACCAAAAAAAAAAACGAAAAAUGAAAAAAAAAAUAUUUGGUGUUUUCGGGCUUCCUGAAGGUAAUACCCCGGUAUUAGGUUAUGGGGCUAUGGUAAGGUUUAAGGUUUUUGGCGUUAGGGUUAAAAUCACUGUCCAAAACCUUUGUAGGAACUCUUUUCCAACCUUUUGGAGUUAGUUAGACCAAAAAAAUAUGAAAAAAGAAAAAAAAAUAUUUGGGGUGUUCGGGCUUCCUGUGGUAAUACACGGGUAUUAGAUUUAAAGGCUAGGGUAAGGUUUAAGCUUAAUGGCGUUAGGGUUAAAAUCACUGUCCAAAACCUUUGUAGGAACUCUUUUCCAACCUUUUGGAGUUACUUAGACCAAAAAAAAAACGAAAAAUGAAAAAAAAAUAUUUGGGGUGUUCAGGCUUCCUAAAAGUAAUACCCGGGUAUUAGGUUAUGGGGCUAUGGUAAGGUUUAAGGUUUUUGGCGUUAGGGUUAAAAUCACUGUCCAAAACCUUUGUAGGAACUCUUUCCCAACCUUUUGGAGUUAGUUAGACCAAAAAAAAAAAUGAAAAAAAAAAAUUUGGGGUGUUCAGGCUUCCUAAAAGUAAUACCCGGGUAUUAGGUUAUGGGGCUAUGGUAAGGUUUAAAGUUUUUGGCAUUAGGGUUAAAAUCACUGUCCAAAACCUUUGUAGGAACUCUUUCCCAACCUUUUGGAGUUAGUUAGACCAAAAAAAAAUGUAAAAUGAAAAAAAAAUGUUUGGGGUUUUCGGGCUUCCUGAAGGUAAUACCCGGGUAUUAGGUUAUGGGGCUAUGGUAUGGUUUAAGGUUUUUGGCAUUAGGUUUAAAAUCACUGUCCAAAACCUUUGUAGGAACUCUUUUCCAACCUUUUGGAGUUAGACCAAAAAAAGAAUGAAAAAUGAAAAAAAAAAUAUUUGGGGUUUUCGGGCUUCCUGAAUGUAAUACCCGGGUAUUAGAUUUUAAGGCCAGGGUAAGGUUUAAGUUUUUGGCGUUAGGGUUAAAAUCACUGUCCAAAACCUUUGUAGGAACUCUUUUCCAACCUUUUGGAUUUGGUUGGACCAAAAAAAAAAGAAAAAUGAAAGAAAAAUAUUUGGGGUGUUCAGGCUUCCUAAAAGUAAUACCCGGGUAUUAGGUUUUGGGGCUAGGGUAAGGUUUAAGGUUUUUGGCUUAGGGUUAAAAUCACUGUCCAAAACCUUUGUAGGAACUCUUUCCAACCUUUUGGAGUUAGUUAGACAAAAAAAAAGAAAAAUGAAAAAAAAUAUUUGGGGUGUUCAGGCUUCCUAAAAAUAAUACCCGAGUAUUAGGUUAUGGGGCUAUGGUAAGGUUUAACGUUUUGGCGUUAGGUUUAAAAUCACUGUCCAAAACCUUUGUAGGAACUCUUUUCUAACCUUUUGGAUUUAGUCUGACCAAAAAAAGAAUGAAAAAUGAAAAAAAAUAUAUUUGGGGUGUUCGGGCUUCCUGAAGGUAAUACCCGGGUAUUAGAUUUUAAGGCUAGGGUAAGGUUUAAGGUUUUUGGCGUUAGGGUUAAAGUCACUGUCCAAAACCUUUGUAGGAACUCUUUUCCAACCUUUUGGAGUUAGUUAGACCAAAAAAAAAAAUGAAAAAUGAAAAAAAAAUGUUUGGGGUUUUCGGGCUUCCUGAAUGUAAUACCCGGGUAUUAGAUUUUAAGGCUAGGGUAAGGUUUAAGUUUUAUGGCGUUAGGGUUAAAAUCACUGUCCAAAACCUUUGUAGGAACUCUUUUCGAACCUUUUGGAGUUACUUAGACCAAAAAAAAAUGAAAAAUGAAAAAAAAAUAUUUGGGGUGUUCAGGCUUCCUAAAAGUAAUACCCCGGUAUUAGGUUAUGGGGCUAUGGUAAGGUUUAAGGUUUUUGGCGUUAGGGUUAAAAUCACUGUCCAAAACCUUUGUAGGAACUCUUUUCCAACCUUUUGGAGUUACUUAGACCAAAAAAAAAUGAAAAAUGAAAAAAAAAUAUUUGGGGUUUACGGGCUUCCUGAAUGUAAUACCCGGGUAUUAGAUUUAAAGGCCAGGGUAAGGUUUAAGGUUUUUGGCGUUAGGGUUAAAAUCACUGUCCAAAACCUUUGUAGGAACUCUUUUCCAACCUUUUGGAGUUAGUUAGACCAAAAAAAAAAGAAAAAUGAAAAAAUAUAUAUUUGGGGUGUUCAGGCUUCCUAAAAGUAAUACCCGGGAAUUAGGUUAUGGGGCUAUGGUAAGGUUUAAGGUUUUUGGCGUUAGGGUUAAAAUCACUGUCCAAAACCUUUGUAGGAACUCUUUUUCAACCUUUUGGAGUUAGUUAGACCAAAAAAAAAAAGAAAAAUGAAAAAAAAUAUAUUUGGGGUUUACGGGCUUCCUGAAUGUAAUACCCGGGUAUUAGAUUUUAAGGCCAGGGAAAGGUUUAAGUUUUUUGGCGUUAGGGUUAAAAUCACUGUCCAAAACCUUUGUAGGAACUCUUUUCCAACCUUUUGGAGUUAGUUAGACCAAAAAAUAUGAAAAAAGAAAAAAAUAUUAUUGGGGGUAUUAUUAGGUUUUGGGGCUAUGGUAAGGUUUAAGUUUUUUGGCGUUAGGGUUAAAAUCACUGUCCAAAACCUUUGUAGGAACUCUUUUCCAACCUUUUGGAGUUAGUUAGACCAAAAAAAAAUGUAAAAUGAAGAAAAAAAUAUUUGGGGUGUUCAGGCUUCCUGAAGGUAAUACCCGGGUAUUAGAUUUCAAGGCUAGGGUAAGGUUUAAGUUUUUUGGCGUUAGGGUUAAAAUCACUGUCCAAAACCUUUGUAGGAACUCUUUUCCAACCUUUUGGAGUUAGUUAGACCAAAAAAUAUGAAAAAAGAAAAAAAUAUUAUUGGGGGUUUUCGGGCUCCCUGAAAGUAAUACCCGUGUAUUAGGUUUUGGGACUAGGGAAAGGUUUAAGGGUUUUGGCGUUAGGGUUAAAAUCACUGUCCAAAACCUUUGUAGGAACUCUUUUCCAACCUUUUGGAGUUAGUUAGACCAAAAAAUAUGAAAAAAGAAAAAAAUAUUAUUGGGGGUUUUCGGGCUCCCUGAAAGUAAUACCCGUGUAUUAGGUUUUGGGACUAGGGAAAGGUUUAAGGGUUUUGGCGUUAGGGUUAAAAUCACUGUCCAAAACCUUUGUAGGAACUCUUUUCCAACCUUUUGGAGUUAGUUAGACCAAAAAAAA
rnacentral:lncRNA from 1 species